GAUGAACGCUGGCGGCGUGCUUAACACAUGCAAGUCGAACGAAGCACUUUAUUUGAUUUCCUUCGGGACUGAUUAUUUUAUGACUGAGUGGCGGACGGGUGAGUAACGCGUGGGUAACCUGCCUUGUACAGGGGGAUAACAGUUGGAAACGGCUGCUAAUACCGCAUAAGCGCACGGCAUCGCAUGAUGCAGUGUGAAAAACUCCGGUGGUAUAAGAUGGACCCGCGUUGGAUUAGCUAGUUGGUGAGGUAACGGCCCACCAAGGCGACGAUCCAUAGCCGACCUGAGAGGGUGACCGGCCACAUUGGGACUGAGACACGGCCCAAACUCCUACGGGAGGCAGCAGUGGGGAAUAUUGCACAAUGGGCGAAAGCCUGAUGCAGCGACGCCGCGUGAGCGAAGAAGUAUUUCGGUAUGUAAAGCUCUAUCAGCAGGGAAGAUAAUGACGGUACCUGACUAAGAAGCACCGGCUAAAUACGUG
rnacentral:rRNA from 1 species